rnacentral:rRNA from 1 species
UUAAGCGACUAAGCGUACACGGUGGAUGCCCUGGCAGUCAGAGGCGAUGAAGGACGUGCUAAUCUGCGAAAAGCGUCGGUAAGGUGAUAUGAACCGUUAUAACCGGCGAUGUCCGAAUGGGGAAACCCAGUGUGAUUCGUCACACUAUCGUUAACUGAAUACAUAGGUUAACGAGGCGAACCGGGGGAACUGAAACAUCUAAGUACCCCGAGGAAAAGAAAUCAACCGAGAUUCCCCCAGUAGCGGCGAGCGAACGGGGAGCAGCCCAGAGUCUGAAUCAGCUUGUGUGUUAGUGGAACGGUCUGGAAAGUCCGACGGUACAGGGUGAUAGUCCCGUACACCAAAAUGCACAGGCUGUGAACUCGAAGAGUAGGGCGGGACACGUGGUAUCCUGUCUGAAUAUGGGGGGACCAUCCUCCAAGGCUAAAUACUCCUGACUGACCGAUAGUGAACCAGUACCGUGAGGGAAAGGCGAAAAGAACCCCGGCGAGGGGAGUGAAAAAGAACCUGAAACCGUGUACGUACAAGCAGUGGGAGCACCUUCGGGUGUGACUGCGUACCUUUUGUAUAAUGGGUCAGCGACUUAUAUUCUGUAGCAAGGUUAACCGUAUAGGGGAGCCGAAGGGAAACCGAGUCUUAACUGGGCGUUAAGUUGCAGGGUAUAGACCCGAAACCCGGUGAUCUAGCCAUGGGCAGGUUGAAGGUUGGGUAACACUAACUGGAGGACCGAACCGACUAAUGUUGAAAAAUUAGCGGAUGACUUGUGGCUGGGGGUGAAAGGCCAAUCAAACCGGGAGAUAGCUGGUUCUCCCCGAAAGCUAUUUAGGUAGCGCCUCGUGAACUCAUCUUCGGGGGUAGAGCACUGUUUCGGCUAGGGGGCCAUCCCGGCUUACCAACCCGAUGCAAACUACGAAUACCGAAGAAUGUUAUCACGGGAGACACACGGCGGGUGCUAACGUCCGUCGUGAAGAGGGAAACAACCCAGACCGCCAGCUAAGGUCCCAAAGUCAUGGUUAAGUGGGAAACGAUGUGGGAAGGCACAGACAGCCAGGAUGUUGGCUUAGAAGCAGCCAUCAUUUAAAGAAAGCGUAAUAGCUCACUGGUCGAGUCGGCCUGCGCGGAAGAUGUAACGGGGCUAAACCAUGCACCGAAGCUGCGGCAGCGACACUAUGUGUUGUUGGGUAGGGGAGCGUUCUGUAAGCCUGUGAAGGUGUGCUGUGAGGCAUGCUGGAGGUAUCAGAAGUGCGAAUGCUGACAUAAGUAACGAUAAAGCGGGUGAAAAGCCCGCUCGCCGGAAGACCAAGGGUUCCUGUCCAACGUUAAUCGGGGCAGGGUGAGUCGACCCCUAAGGCGAGGCCGAAAGGCGUAGUCGAUGGGAAACAGGUUAAUAUUCCUGUACUUGGUGUUACUGCGAAGGGGGGACGGAGAAGGCUAUGUUGGCCGGGCGACGGUUGUCCCGGUUUAAGCGUGUAGGCUGGUUUUCCAGGCAAAUCCGGAAAAUCAAGGCUGAGGCGUGAUGACGAGGCACUACGGUGCUGAAGCAACAAAUGCCCUGCUUCCAGGAAAAGCCUCUAAGCAUCAGGUAACAUCAAAUCGUACCCCAAACCGACACAGGUGGUCAGGUAGAGAAUACCAAGGCGCUUGAGAGAACUCGGGUGAAGGAACUAGGCAAAAUGGUGCCGUAACUUCGGGAGAAGGCACGCUGAUAUGUAGGUGAAGCCCCUGCGGGUGGAGCUGAAAUCAGUCGAAGAUACCAGCUGGCUGCAACUGUUUAUUAAAAACACAGCACUGUGCAAACACGAAAGUGGACGUAUACGGUGUGACGCCUGCCCGGUGCCGGAAGGUUAAUUGAUGGGGUUAGCGGCAACGCGAAGCUCUUGAUCGAAGCCCCGGUAAACGGCGGCCGUAACUAUAACGGUCCUAAGGUAGCGAAAUUCCUUGUCGGGUAAGUUCCGACC